GGAAUGGUGGUUCAGUGGUAGAACUCUAGCCUUCCAUGUGGGACACCUGGCUUCCAUUCCCAGCCGAUGCA
rnacentral:tRNA from 1 species